AUGGGGGUAGGGAACGGACACUUCCGCCGUAGUGGCUCACUCAAUCGACUGUCCCACUGAAGGGGCGUAGGACGAGGGGGCGAGAGCGGCGACUUUGCCAAGCGCCUCUCGGAUGCUGCCACGGCGCCGGCCGCCGCUCCCGCCCGGGUACUGCAAAGGCGACCUGCCGCAUUCCGACUCGGGCUCUCCGCCGACUCAGCACCGCCCCUGCGCCAAGCCGGCCGGCCAGGCAGCAACAGCAGUGUCAACAGGUGGCUGA
rnacentral:lncRNA from 1 species